GAUGAACGCUGGCGGCGUGCCUAAUACAUGCAAGUCGAGCGAACAGACGAGGAGCUUGCUCCUCUGACCUUAGCGGCGGACGGGUGAGUAACACGUGGAUAACCUACCUAUAAGACUGGGAUAACUUCGGGAAACCGGAGCUAAUACCGGAUAAUAUAUUGAACCGCAUGGUUCAAUAGUGAAAGACGGUUUUGCUGUCACUUAUAGAUGGAUCCGCGCCGCAUUAGCUAGUUGGUAAGGUAACGGCUUACCAAGGCAACGAUGCGUAGCCGACCUGAGAGGGUGAUCGGCCACACUGGAACUGAGACACGGUCCAGACUCCUACGGGAGGCAGCAGUAGGGAAUCUUCCGCAAUGGGCGAGAGCCUGACGGAGCAACGCCGCGUGAGUGAUGAAGGUCUUCGGAUCGUAAAACUCUGUUAUUAGGGAAGAACAAAUGUGUAAGUAACUAUGCACGUCUUGACGGUACCUAAUCAGAAAGCCACGGCUAACUACGUG
rnacentral:rRNA from 1 species